UACGUAGGGUGCGAGCGUUGUCCGGAAUUAUUGGGCGUAAAGAGCUCGUAGGCGGUUUGUCGCGUCUGCUGUGAAAACGCGAGGCUCAACCUCGCGCCUGCAGUGGGUACGGGCAGACUAGAGUGCGGUAGGGGAGAUUGGAAUUCCUGGUGUAGCGGUGGAAUGCGCAGAUAUCAGGAGGAACACCGAUGGCGAAGGCAGGUCUCUGGGCAUUAACUGACGCUGAGGAGCGAAAGCAUGGGGAGCGAACAGG
rnacentral:rRNA from 1 species